CUUCCAUUGACAGCUAACGCUAUAACAGGACCACAGUUUAACACAACAACUAGUGGUGUGGCUGUAAACGCGCAAUUUUCAGGCCAUCGAAAAUAACGUAGUCAAGUAUAUUGGAGCAGUAGGUACUCAACGGGUUUGUUUAUGGGCAACAGACGACACCAACAUAAUUAUUAUUCAGUAACGUAAAUCCAAAUUCGUGCAAAACACUUGAAUAGGAAAAAUACAUAAUAUUUUUUGCAAUGGAUCGAGAAAACAAUUCCAACGCAUCUACUAAUUCUACAAUAAAUCCUCACAUGAGCAAAAUCUAUGAGAACUACAAAAACAUGACCGAAGAACAAAAACGGGCAAAGCUCGAAGAAUACUUGAAAACCCCUCUGGCACCGGACACCAGUGAUAUGACUUAUGCCGAUUUUGAUGUAGCUGAGUUCAGUCCGUACACGCCUACACAAGCUAAUGGCAAGAAUAAAAAUUAGAAAUUCUGGUUGUUUUAAUAUAUCUACUGAAAACAUCACAAAUCGGCAACGUCGUUAACAGCUAUAAUUAACCGAGUGAUGUACUAAGCUAUACCAUUAACUGUUACACAUUGAUUUUACUCUCUCUCUCUCUCUCUUGUCUUUAUCUAAGAGGCCUCUGCACCUGCGACUCGUUCUAAUUUUAACCGUAAUCAGAAAUCCUAUAAUAGUUUUAAAAACAAAUAAACAUUUGCCAAUACUCGAACAAAAA